UCGAAAUCGGAAGAGGCUCGCUCGGCCCCCUCCCUCCCAGUUGCUUUUGAGGAGUUAAAGCAUGAAACGUUUAGUAACCAGUGAGAUUCUUUCUCUUCUACGACGGCUCUCGAUUUGUAGAGUAGAGCCAUGGGUUGUUUCUUCCGUUGCUUCCGUGCUAGAGAAGACCAAUCUACGAGUGAUUCAGUCUCUCAAGCCAAUUCCAACGAACAUUUUUCGAACAAGGCUUUGAAAUUGAAGUUAGCACCAACACAGCAUGUUUUCUCGAGCAAUGUUUUACCUCUGCAACAAAGUGUUAAGCCAAGCGUAGUUCCUUACAAAGUUGCUUUAUCACCUAGCAAAUCUGAUGAUGGGUCAGUUUCAUUGGACGAGACAAUGUCUUCAAGUGAUUCCUACAAGAUUCCUCAAGUGGAGUAUAUCGACAAUUACAAAGUUUCAGCUGUUGUUCGAUUUAAAGGAAAGCAUUGAGUAAUCUGUACAUAAGAUGGUCCAGUGGGCAGUGGCAUCCUACUAUGGAUCUUUUGUUCUCUUGAAGUUAUGAUAACACUAUCAAGGUUUGGUGGUCUACGGAUGAAUAUGGUGAUUAUAAUUGUGUCCAAAACUUGGGUGAAUCUAACAAGUAUAUCCUCUAUUUGCCUCUUCUUUAUUCUCACACGUUCAAAAUUUUCCUACUUUGAUGCUAUAGUUUUCUAAACCUUCUUAUAUGCUUAUAACAUGUUGCCUUUAAUCUUCACUUAGUGGUCAUUCUUCUACCGUCUGGGUUAUCUCCUUUAAUGAUGAUGGGAACGAGAUGAUCACUUGUUUCUGAUCGGAGAUUUCAUCUCUGUUACCUGGUCUGACAAUACUAAGAUUGCUUGAACUUGUAAUGAUGAUCUAACAGUGAAAAUAUGAUGGACAUAUUGCAGGGAUGCAAUCUGGUGAAGGAUAUGUACCCCGGUGAGGAUAUGACCCAUCUUCUUUGUACACUCUCUGGUUUUCAUGAUCGUACCAUAUAUUCAGUUCAUUGGUCAAGGUUUUUCUUUUGUUUUGUAACUGUAAGAUUGGGAGGAACGUUAUAAGAAACAGAGGAGGCUUUUUCGUUUGAGACGAAUAAGGCGAAAGUUGUGGUGAUGAACGCAGAGAUUCGAAGAACCAAAGCUCGAUUGCUUGAAGGAAUUCCAAAACUUCAAAGGCUUCAAAGGCUGACCGAUUCCCAAAAAGACAGGAGUACAUUGAAACAAAGGGACUUCGAGCUGAGAAGAAUAGCUUUGGCGUCUGAGAAUCUGCUGACUUUAAGCUGAGAAGAAUAGUUUUGUGGUCUGAAAAUCUACGGACUCUAACCGGAGAUUUGUGGUCUGAAAUUCUGGUGACUCCGGAGAUAAAGUUAAAGAAUCUGGUGAGAGACGAAGAUGAGAGACGACAACGACGAUUAGAGACGAAUUUCAUUUUGGGUAUUACAUUACGUGUUUGGAUUUAAAUUAUAGUUUAGAUGUUUUGAUGUUCAUUAAGAUUUAUGCUCACAAAGAAUUAGUUUUAUGGAA